UUCGGGACGCCGGCGAGUGGCGAACGGGUGAGUAACACGUGGAGACCUGCCCUGGGGUGGGGGAUAACAACUAGAAAUGGCUGCUAAUACCGCAUACGCCUUACGAGGGAAAGAUUUAUUGCCCCAGGAGGGUUCCGCGUCGGAUUAGCUUGUUGGUAGGGUAACGGCCUACCAAGGCGACGAUCCGUAGCUGGUCUUAGAGGAUGAUCAGCCACACUGGGACUGAGGCACGGCCCAGACUCCUACGGGAGGCAGCAGUGGGGAAUAUUGCGCAAUGGGGGAAACCCUGACGCAGCGAUGCCGCGUGGGUGAAUAAGGCCUUAGGGUUGUAAAGCCCUUUCAGUGGGAACGAUGAUGACGGUACCCACAGAAGAAGCCCCGGCUAACUCCGUGCCAGCAGCCGCGGUAAUACGGAGGGGGCGAGCGUUGU
rnacentral:rRNA from 1 species